GGGACCCGUCUUGAAACACGGACCAAGGAGUCUAGCAUGUGCGCGAGUCAUUGGGACUCUAACGAAACCUAAAGGCGUAAUGAAAGUGAAGGUCCGCCUUGCGCGGACCGAGGGAGGAUGGUCGUUCUCUAGGGAACGUCCCGCACUCCCUGGGCGUCUCGUUCUCAUCGCGAGAAGAGGCGCACCAAGAGCGUACACGCUGGGACCCGAAAGAUGGUGAACUAUGCCUGGUCAGGACGAAGUCAGGGGAAACCCUGAUGGAGGUCCGUAGCGAUUCUGACGUGCAAAUCGAUCGUCGGAACUGGGUAUAGGGGCGAAAGACUAAUCGAACCAUCUAGUAGCUGGUUCCCUCCGAAGUUUCCCUCAGGAUAGCUGGCGCUCGCUUCUCGCGAGUCUCAUUCGGUAAAGCGAAUGAUUAGAGGCAUUGGGGUCGAAACGGCCUCAACCUAUUCUCAAACUUUAAAUGGGUGAGAUCUCCGGCUUGCUUGAACUGUGAAGCCGCGAGAUAUCGGAUCAGAGUGCCAAGUGGGCCACUUUUGGUAAGCAGAACUGGCGCUGUGGGAUGAACCAAACGCUGAGUUAAAGCGCCUAAAUCGACGCUUAUGGGAUACCAUGAAAGGCGUUGGUAACUUAAGACAGCAGGACGGUGGCCAUGGAAGUCGGAAUCCGCUAAGGAGUGUGUAAA
rnacentral:rRNA from 2 species